GUUGGGGUGGCAGAUCAGUGCAUUAGACUUAAGAUCUAAAUAGAAGAAACCUUCCCCAACU
rnacentral:tRNA from 1 species